GGUGUAGUAUAUAGAGGUGAUUAAGGUGUAGUAUAUAGAGGUGAUUAAGGUGUAGUAUAUAGAGGUGAUUAUAUAGAGGUGAUUAUAUAGAGGUGAUUAUAUAGAGGUGAUUAAGGUGUAGUAUAUAGAGGUGAUUAAGGUGCAGUAUAUAGAGGUGAUUAUAUAGAGGUGAUUAAGGUGUAGUAUAUAGAGGUGAUUAAGGUGUAGUAUAUAGAGGUGAUUAAGGUGUAGUAUAGAGGUGAUUAAGGUGCAGUAUAUAGAGGUGAUUAAGGUGUAGUAUAUAGAGGUGAUUAAGGUGUAGUAUAUAGAGGUGAUUAAGGUGUAGUAUAUAGAGGUGAUUAAGGUGUAGUAUAUAGAGGUGAUUAAGGUGUAGUAUAUAGAGGUGAUUAAGGUGUAGUAUAUAGAGGUGAUUAAGGUGCAGUAUAUAGAGGUGAUUAAGGUGUAGUAUAUAGAGGUGAUUAAGGUGCAGUAUAUAGAGGUGAUUAAGGUGUAGUAUAUAGAGGUGAUUAAGGUGUAGUAUAUAGAGGUGAUUAAGGUGUAGUAUAUAGAGGUGAUUAAGGUGCAGUAUAUAGAGGUGAUUAAGGUGUAGUAUAUAGAGGUGAUUAAGGUGUAGUAUAUAGAGGUGAUUAAGGUGCAGUAUAUAGAGGUGAUUAAGGUGCAGUAUAUAGAGGUGAUUAAGGUGCAGUAUAUAGAGGUGAUUAAGGUGUAGUAUAUAGAGGUGAUUAAGGUGUAGUAUAUAGAGGUGAUUAAGGUGUAGUAUAUAGAGGUGAUUAAGGUGCAGUAUAUAGAGGUGAUUAAGGUGCAGUAUAUAGAGGUGAUUAAGGUGCAGUAUAUAGAGGUGAUUAAGGUGUAGUAUAUAGAGGUGAUUAAGGUGCAGUAAAUAGAGGUGAUUAAGGUGCAGUAUAUAGAGGUGAUUAAGGUGUAGUAUAUAGAGGUGAUUAAGGUGCAGUAUAUAGAGGUGAUUAAGGUGCAGUAUAUAGAGGUGAUUAAGGUGUAGUAUAUAGAGGUGAUUAAGGUGCAGUAUAUAGAGGUGAUUAAGGUGCAGUAUAUAGAGGUGAUUAAGGUGCAGUAUAUAGAGGUGAUUAAGGUGCAGUAUAUAGAGGUGAUUAUAUAGAGGUGAUUAAGGUGUAGUAUAUAGAGGUGAUUAAGGUGCAGUAUAUAGAGGUGAUUAAGGUGUAGUAUAUAGAGGUGAUUAUAUAGAGGUGAUUAAGGUGCAGUAUAUAGAGGUGAUUAAGGUGCAGUAUAUAGAGGUGAUUAAGGUGCAGUAUAUAGAGGUGAUUAAGGUGUAGUAUAUAGAGGUGAUUAUAUAGAGGUGAUUAAGGUGCAGUAUAUAGAGGUGAUUAAGGUGCAGUAUAUAGAGGUGAUUAAGGUGCAGUAUAUAUAUGAGAAAUGAUCGUAGAUUUAGGAUUCUUCACCUCUGAUUCUUCGGUCGUAGUCGUUGGCCAGCUCCAUUAACUCCACCUGGUGUUUCUGGGGAGAAUCAAAAGGAGACUUCUGUCACAGAGCAGCGCUGGAAGUAGUAUUCACAUCCUGUACUGCAGUUAGAGUACUAAUACCACACUGUAACAAUACUCUGGUACAAGUAAAAGUGUGUAAGUAUCAUCAGGAAAAUGUAGUUAAAGUAUUAAAAGUGAAGAACAAUCCUCCCACUGUAGAAAGUGGAAACUAUCCAAACAGUUCUUUUCUUUCUUCCCGUCUUUCUGUCUCUCUGUCUGUCUCUUUCUUU